CAAUAGCGUAUAUUAAAGUUGUUGCGGUUAAAAAGCUCGUAGUUGGAUUUCUGCCGAGGACGACCGGUCCGCCCUCUGGGUGAGUAUCUGGCUCGGCCUGGGCAUCUUCUUGGAGAACGUAACUGCACUUGACUGUGUGGUGCGGUAUCCAGGACUUUUACUUUGAGGAAAUUAGAGUGUUUCAAGCAGGCAUACGCCUUGAAUACAUUAGCAUGGAAUAAUAAGAUAGGACCUCGGUUCUAUUUUGUUGGUUUCUAGAGCUGAGGUAAUGAUUAAUAGGGAUAGUUGGGGGCAUUCGUAUUUAACUGUCAGAGGUGAAAUUCUUGGAUUUGUUAAGAACGGACUACUAGCGAAGACGAUUGUCCAACGGAAGUGUUUUCUUAUUGUAAUCAAGAACGAAAGUUAGGGGAUCGAAGAUGAUUAGAUACCGU
rnacentral:rRNA from 1 species